rnacentral:rRNA from 1 species
GAUGAACGCUGGCGGCGUGCCUAACACAUGCAAGUCGUACGAGAAAGGGGCUUCGGCCCUGAGUAGAGUGGCGCACGGGUGAGUAACGCGUGGGUAAUCUGCCCUUGGAUUUGGAAUAACUCCGCGAAAGUGGAGCUAAUACCGGAUAGUCUGGCUUUUUAACGAAGUCGGUAAAGGAUGCCUCUGCAUAUGCAUUCGUCCGAGGAUGAGCCCGCGUCUCAUUAGCUAGUUGGUAGGGUAAUGGCCUACCAAGGCAACGAUGAGUAGCUGGUCUGAGAGGAUGAUCAGCCACACUGGAACUGAAACACGGUCCAGACUCCUACGGGAGGCAGCAGUGGGGAAUAUUGCGCAAUGGGCGAAAGCCUGACGCAGCAACGCCGUGUGAGGGAUGAAGGCUUUCGGGUCGUAAACCUCUGUCAGAAGGGAAGAACGGGCAUUGGUCUAAUAGGCCUUUGUUUUGACGGUACCCUCAGAGGAAGCACCGGCUAACUCCGUGCCAGCCGCCGCGGUAA